UACAGGGGGGGCAAGCGUUGUUCGGAAUUACUGGGCGUAAAGGGCCAGUAGGCGGCCAACUAAGUCCGACGUGAAAUCCCAAAGCUUAACUUUGGAACUGCGUCGGAUACUGGAUGGCUUGAAUUCGGGAGAGGGAUGCAGAAUUCCAGGUGUAGCGGUGAAAUGCGUAGAUAUCUGGAGGAACACCGGUGGCGAAAGCGGCUCACUGGACCCGAUCUGACACUGAGGUGCGAAAGCUAGGGUAGCAAACGGG
rnacentral:rRNA from 1 species